rnacentral:rRNA from 1 species
GGAAGGUGCACUUGGAUAAAUAU